GACGAACGCUGGCGGCGUGCUUAACACAUGCAAGUCGAACGGAAAGGCCCUGCUUUUGUGGGGUGCUCGAGUGGCGAACGGGUGAGUAACACGUGAGUAACCUGCCCUUGACUUUGGGAUAACUUCAGGAAACUGGGGCUAAUACCGGAUAGGAGCUCCUGCUGCAUGGUGGGGGUUGGAAAGUUUCGGCGGUUGGGGAUGGACUCGCGGGUUAUCAGCUUGUUGGUGGGGUAGUGGCUUACCAAGGCUUUGACGGGUAGCCGGCCUGAGAGGGUGACCGGCCACAUUGGGACUGAGAGACGGCCCAGACUCCUACGGGAGGCAGCAGUGGGGAAUAUUGCACAAUGGGCGGAAGCCUGAUGCAGCAACGCCGCGUGCGGGAUGACGGCCUUCGGGCUGUAAACCGCUUUCGCCUGUGACGAAGCGUGAGUGACGGUAAUGGGUAAAGAAGCACCGGCUAACUACGUG
rnacentral:rRNA from 1 species